AAGUCGUAACAAGGUUUCCGUAGGUGAACCUGCGGAAGGAUCAUUACCGAGUCAGGGUCCUCUGGGCCCGAUCUCCAACCCUUUGUUUAUCAUACCUUUGUUGCUUUGGCAGGCCCGUCCUUCGGGGCCGCCGGGGGCGUUCAGUCGCCUCUGGUCCGCGCCUGCCAGUAGCCAAAUCAAAAUUCUUUAUUAAAUGUGAAGUCUGAAUGUUUAAUCAAAAAUUAAACUAAAACUUUCAACAACGGAUCUCUUGGUUCUG
rnacentral:misc_RNA from 1 species